AUACGUAGGUGGCAAGCGUUGUCCGGAAUUGUUGGGCGUAAAGCGCAUGUAGGCGGUGCCUUAAGUCUGUCGUGAAACCGCGGGGCCUAACCCCGUAUGGCGAUGGAAACUGUGGCACUUGAGUGCAGGAGAGGAAAGGGGAACUCCCAGUGUAGCGGGGAAAUGCGUAGAUAUUGGGAAGAACACCGGUGGCGAAGGCGCCUUUCUGGACUGUGUCUGACGCUGAGAUGCGAAAGCCAGGGUAGCGAACGGGAUUAGAUACCCCGGUAGUCCUGGCCGUAAACGAUGGGUACUAGGUGUGGGAGGUAUCGACCCCUUCCGUGCCGGAGUUAACGCAAUAAGUACCCCGCCUGGGGAGUACGGCCGCAAGGCUUAAACUCAAAGGAAUUGACGGGG
rnacentral:rRNA from 1 species